rnacentral:lncRNA from 1 species
AAAUUUAUUUAUUUUUACUUUCUGUGCACUGAUAUUUUGUCCGCAUGUAUGUCUGUGUGAGGGUGUUGGGUCCUCUGGAAUUGAAGUUACAGACAGUUGUGAGCUUCAUGUGGGUGCUAGGAAUUGAAACCGGGACCUCUAGGAAGAGCAGCCGGUGCUUCUAACCUCUGAGCCAUCUCACCAGCUGUGCUUAAUCAAAAGGAAGUUUCCUCUUAUGGUCAAGAAAAAGAUGCUGGCCCUGGAGGAUAGGAAGAUGAUAUGGAGGCAUGUUUAUUUCGUUUUGAUUUUGUUUUUCUGAGACAGGGUCUUGAUAUUGUCCCUGGCUGAUCUGGAACCCAGCCCCUCCCCCUCUGUGUGUGUGUGUGUGUGUGUGUGUGUGUGUGUCUGUCUGUCUGUCUGUCUGUCUGUGUUUAGAAACAGGGUCUCUUGUAGGCCAAGCCAGACCCCAGUUCACUAUGUUGCUGAGGCUAACCUAGAACCCCUGAUCCUCCCUCCCCUAUGUACCCACAGCCCACACUGAGAUUACAGCACCAAGUCUUGCAGGAGGCUCAUAUUCUUGAAUGAAAUACUUUCUUUUCUGAGCACACUUGGGCCUAUUAGUUUUGUUUGUUUGGGUUUUUUGUUUUGUUUUGUUUUGUUUUUGUAUGUGUGUGUGUUUUUUAGACAGGGUUUCUCUGGAUAGCCCUAGCUGUCUUGGAACUCUCUGUAGACGAAGCUGGAGUCAAACUUAGAGAUCUCUCUACUUCUGCCUCUCUAGAGUGGGGGUUAACCGUGUGACCACCAUAAUUGGCUUUAGUUUUGUUUUUGCUUCUGAGACAAGGUCUCUCUACAGAGCCCUGAUUGUGCUAGAAUUCACUGUGUAGACCAGGCUGGCCCAGAACUCAUAGAGAUCAGCCUGCCUCUGCCUCUAGAGUUAUGUAUUACCUUAUGAGGUUGAACACCCCUUAAGUUCCAGCCUCUAGAACAGUUUGGCUGGGAAUGAGGACACCUGCUUUUGGACUUUCGUGACAUCAGGUCCCUUUGGACCUUGUCUUCCCGACUAGAGCAGAUUAUCAGGAUCUUACGGUUUUAAAGGCUGGCUGUUAUUUAAUAGAGACCAGAGAUUGAGUCUUAAGGUUCCUCCUCUAACUGCCUAGAGGCCACACAGUCCCCUGGAACCCUCAGAUCUCAGCCAGGUCCAGAGGGCAUGGUUAGGAGCAGAGCAAGGUUGGGCGGGGUGUCCUUUUCUGCACAGGCACCGGCCUGCCUAGUCACCUGGGUCCGCAGCCUCAGGAAGGCACGGCUAGGAGCAUUUUUGAAAUAUUCUGGCCUGAGUCCCUGGGCUCACCCAAACAUGCAGAAGCCUGUCUGCUGCCCGCCCGGUGGCACAUGGAACACUGCAUAAAUCUGUUCCCAGCCCAAUCCCUGUGGAGAAGACCGAAUUGUCACGUUAAACUACAUGAACCUGUCUGAUUUUGAAUUGCCCUUCUAUGGAUCCAAAUAGGCUGUCCCAUGCCUACUGGUCCUCAGAGGGAAUUGGGCAACAACAAAGCACAGGUCGGAUCCAGAUCCUUCCGAAGUUGGGAACAGUGUAUUCUCUGGCUAUCCAGGCAUCACAACCAUACUAUGCUAAUUUGUGGUCUUUCUCUCUCUCUCUCUUUUUUUAAACAAAAACUCAGAGGGUAGAGAUGGCUCAGUGGUUAGCCCUUAAGAGCACUCACUGCCUGUCCUUUCCGAGGACCUGGGUUUGAUUCCCAGCACCCACAAGGCGGCUCCAUAGUCACCUGUAACUCCAGUUCUGGUUUUCACAGGCACCACGCAUGCCAUGGUGCACAGACAUACAUGCAGGCAAGCCAUCCAUAUUCAUAAAAAUAAAAUUAGACAAAGAUCGACUGGGUAGGGCACUGGGAGAGGGAUGUUCAGUAGGGUGGAGAUCCUGUCCUAGGUUAGCUUACAGUCUGGAGGAGACUGGGCAAGAAAACAGGCCUUUCAAAAGAGUGUCAGGGAAAGCCAGGGCUAGUAGCACAGUCCUAUAAGUCUGAAACAGGAGGAUGGCAAGGUCAAGGCCUGCCUGGGCUGUAGAGUGGCCUUAAGACUGGUCUGGGUAACUUAGCAAGAUCCUGUUUC